rnacentral:rRNA from 1 species
UACGUAGGGCGCAAGCGUUGUCCGGAAUUAUUGGGCGUAAAGAGCUCGUAGGCGGUUUGUUACGUCUGCUGUGAAAACCUAGGGCUUAACCCUGGGCUUGCAGUGGAUACGGGCAGACUAGAGGUAGGUAGGGGAGAAUGGAAUUCCUGGUGUAGCGGUGAAAUGCGCAGAUAUCGGGAAGAACACCCGUGGCGAAGGCGGCUCUCUGGGACGGUACUGACGCUGAGACGCGAAAGCGUGGGUAGCAAACAGG